rnacentral:tRNA from 1 species
AGCGUGUUAAUUAAAUUGGUAUAGUAUUGUGCUACGGACACAAUGUUGUAGGUUCGAGUCUUACACACGCUU